UGCUGAGCUGGUGUCAGAAGCACUGUUUAGU
rnacentral:piRNA from 1 species